GAUGAAGAACGUAGCGAAAUGCGAUACUUGGUGUGAAUUGCAGAAUCCCGUGAACCAUCGAGUCUUUGAACGCAAGUUGCGCCUCAAGCCAUUAGGUUGAGGGCACGUCUGCCUGGGCGUCACAUAUCGUUGCCUGAUGCCAGUUUCCUCGUGAUGGGUGACUGUGCAGGGCGAAUGAUGGCUUCCCGUGAGCAUUGUUGCCUCAUGGUUGGUUGAAAAUUGAGUCCUUGGUAGGGAGCGCCGUGAUAGAUGGUGGUUGAGUGGCGAACGAGACCCAAUCAUGUGAGACCCCUACCGAAUUUGGCCUUCAUGACCCACAUGCGUCUUUGGAACGCUCAUGACGAGACCUCAGGUCAGGCGGGGCUACCCGCUGAGUUUAAGCAUAUCAAUAAGCGGAGGA
rnacentral:misc_RNA from 1 species